CGUAGGGAAGAGACCUGACUCACUGCAAGGAGGAAAGUCCGCCCAUCAAAAGGAUGUCUCUAAAAUCUUAAAUGGUUGAAGAGGCUGCCGAAAAAGCUGCUUACUUUAUUGUAAGUUCCAGAAAUGGAAGUCAACGGCACAGAAACGAAACGAGCUUUAAACAUCAAGCAAUGAUGUGUUGAUGCUUUUGGCGACAAAAGAUAUACACUGAGUGUUUAAGGUCACGAUGGAACGGCGAGAACCAGCUGAUGCAACUCAAGAUUGAGGCUUAGUCGAAUGUCAGGACAAGCUUUCCAAGUCUUUUCUUUGGGAAAACGCAGGAGCUUGACAGAAGGCGGCUUAUCCUUCCCUACG
rnacentral:RNase_P_RNA from 1 species